GGCCCGUUGGUCUAGACUCUAGGGGCAUGAUUCGCUUUGGGUGCGAGAGGUCCCGGGUUCAAAUCCCGGACGGGCCC
rnacentral:tRNA from 1 species